AUUUGUUAUUAUGUCCAUGUAACGGCACCCCCAGGCAUAAAAGGGUUAAACCGCAAAUAAGGGAAUGCUCCAAUCUCCCGAACUGCAUACAAUAUAGCACUCCAAACUCCCGAACUGGAACCAUUCGAAUAGCUGCUAGCAGACAAAUAGGAAAAGCACCCAAGCGGCUUACACUCCUAGCAAUCAGUCUCUAUCAGCAUACAGCAAAUCCCCCCAAGGACGAGACAAGGCUCCGUGUUGAGAGUCAAGCAGUGGUCUGUUUAAUGAGGGCUACCUGAACAGUAUUUAUGCAGGUCUCCCACCUGGUGGACACUCCCCUAGGGGACCAAAUGGGAGACUGUAACAAAGGACAGACAAGCAUCAAUCUAGGACACACAGUCACAUUAUAUUCCCACAAUGCAUCCUGGCUUCCUCCCCUCUGCCCUGGAGAUAAUUGAGAAGUAAUUCAAUUAUCUCCCAGGACAAAGGCAAAUCACCAUUAUACAUGUGGGGAUACCAAUACAGGAAUUACUGUUAAAAUCCCCCAUGUUAGAAAGUUUACAAUAAAUAUAUACAUUUAACAUAUCCCCAGAUAGCUCAGGUCUGAGCGCACAUUAUUAAGCGAAUGGCGCUCAGACCACACGAAUACAGUUUAAUCGCCAUGGAGCCAAAGUGUUCACAAAGUCAGUUCUCAUACGAAUGAGCUCCACGGGAUUCCUAUCUGGGGCAUGGUGUAGUCAGGUACAACUACCGAAUACAGGGCCGUUCGCGCACUUCUACCGGCCAAGAAGGGAGGUCGGCGGCUUCAGCGGGGUUCGCGCCAAAAGGCAUCUGUUUUCAGUUCCAUGAGUUGGGCGUCGAACACCGCUGUGCGUGCGCGAGUUUAAAAUGGCCGCGACCUCGUGUUCGGUAUACGAAUGGCGGCCACCCAGUAUUCGUCAAUUAAGCUGCGGUUAACCGCAGCUUCUGGGAGGCUAAUUGCCGACACACUCCAGCUCCCAGGUGGUCCAGUCAUUCGUGUGUUAGUUCGGUAGAUUGGAUCUACCGAACACCAGGCAGAAAAGCACGAAUAAGUCUUUUCUGAAGGGGAACAGAAGUCUUUAAACAUGGGGCCAUAAUCCAAAGGCAACAGGCGAGCAACCAGGCUUCUCCAAUGCAAUGUGGCAAGAUUGGUCUCGUCACAGUCCAUUUUUCUAACCUUUAGAUUUUUCUCAUUUCUACUAACCUCUCUAUGUAAAAACAAACCUACUGUUGGUCGUACCUUAACUUACAUUCCAGCUCUGACUUUGGAAGAGUUUUAUGAUGUUACCUCGCCUAACAAAUGAAGGAACUCUCCUCCACUGAUUCUGUAGGUCUCUCAGUCCAAGAGAAAUGUGGUGAAGCAAUAAAUGAAAGUCCCACAGGCUUUGGCUAGCAGGCCUGGAAAUACCUUGGACAUUUGGGUGACCGUUGGAUCAAAAGAGGGGAUUGUGAUAGAAUUUAUCUUGAUUCCAAGGCUCAAGCUUAUAGGUGUCAUAUAAUGAUAUCCUAUAUUAAAAUUGGCUAACUUGGACUGAGGAAAUGCUUGAUGCUUAACACGACACUUAAGACCAUAUAUGUCUAGUUCCGGGAGCAGAGAGCCCCCACCUGAGAUGUCUCUUCUCUAAUUUUUUUGUUCUUUCAUACCGUGGAACUUAUUUGUUAUGUGUACAUGACGUUCUUCCCUAUGUCUUAUCUGUACUCCCUUCCUAUUACUGUUCUGUGAGUAUUUGCACGUAAGCACUUACUUUUUAAUGUAUAAAAUCCAGCUGAUGAAUAAAAC
rnacentral:lncRNA from 1 species